UACGUAGGGGGCGAGCGUUGUCCGGAUUUAUUGGGCGUAAAGAGCGUGUAGGCGGCUUGGCAAGUCCGCUGUGAAAACUCGAGGCUCAACCUCGAGACGUCGGUGGAAACUGCCUGGCUAGAGUCCGGAAGAGGAGAGUGGAAUUCCUGGUGUAGCGGUGAAAUGCGCAGAUAUCAGGAAGAACACCCGUGGCGAAGGCGGUUCUCUGGGCAUGUCCUGACGCUGAGGAGCGAAAGUGUGGGGAGCGAACAGG
rnacentral:rRNA from 1 species